UGAGGAAUAUUGGUCAAUGGGCGCAAGCCUGAACCAGCCAUGCCGCGUGCAGGAAGAAUGCCCUAUGGGUUGUAAACUGCUUUUAUUUGGGAAUAAACCUCUUACGUGUAGAGAGCUGAAGGUACCGAAUGAAUAAGCACCGGCUAACUCCGUGCCAGCAGCCGCGGUAAU
rnacentral:rRNA from 1 species